AAAGCUCGUAGUUGAAUUUCGGGGUUCUACCGUCGGUCGGGCUAACAAGUCUGUACUGGUGUGUAGAACUUCUACCUUCUGGGGAACUAUCAUGUUAUUAAUUUAGUGUGGUAGGAAACCAGGACCUUUACCUUGAAAAAAUUAGAGUGUUCAAAGCAGGCUUAAGUCUGAAUACAUUAGCAUGGAAUAAUAGAAUAGGACGGUGGUCCUGUUUUGUUGGUUUCUGAAUCACCGUAAUGAUUAAUAGGGAUAGUUGGGGGCAUUAGUAUUCAAUUGUCAGAGGUGAAAUUCUUGGAUUUAUUGAAGACUAACUUCUGCGAAAGCAUUUGCCAAGGAUGUUUUCAUUAAUCAAGAACGAAAGUUAGGGGAUCGAAGACGAUCAGAUACCGUCGUAGUCUUAACCAUAAACUAUGCCGACUAGGGAUCGGACGAUGUUAAAUUUUAUUGACUCGUUCGGCACCUU
rnacentral:rRNA from 1 species